GUCCCAGUGUGCUGGAGGUGCGUCGGCAGAAAGUACAUCAGUAUGUAUGCUGGCUCCAAUAGAGAGAAGGCAGGAAAAGAUGUAACCUGUGAGGGUUGCCUUCAUAAUGCCAUGGACUAACACAACCCACAGCCGUUCUCUGGGAAUCCCAGCUCAGGGUGAAGAGCUGAGUAAUCCUGAACCUGGGGCUGCUGCCGGAACAACCUUUCACACAGUGCCCACUGCUCCCGGUUGCACAACAUGUUUGACUGCGAGAGAUAAACGCCAGGUUUACAUUUGACUCCAGUCACCUUCGGGGCCAGCAGCCGGAGCCUGUAAACAGCACCCACUCCUUUAGAAAGGCGCGACUUUCCCAAAGUCCUGCCUUCCGAGCGCUGCGCCAGGCUGGGAGGAGGUGGACAAGGAAGGGGAGUAUUCCAAAGAAAAAGGAGGCUACAAGCAAGCUCUCGACUCUGUUUAGGAAGAAAAGGAAGAGCCGAGCUGAAGCAUUGGCCCUGCGGGGGGUGGGGGUGGGGCUCAUUUUGUGAACUGGAAUUUAAGAACUAAAACUAGUCCCCCUAACGUGUUUCUGUUUACCCAUCAGAAAUCAAUCUCUGAUUGGAGCAGGUACUUUUUCCUCCGUAAAACAGGCCAAAGAGGAAACGGAACUGUCUUAGUACUAAAAUAAUCUGUAAUUUAAUUGAUGUUGCAUGUUAGGCUUAUUGAAGACACCACUAUGAGAAGAUUCUGUGCUUUGUUUUCUGACACUGAAAACUGCAGGGUGGGGGCGAGAAAAAUCCCCCCACGACUUCACACAGGUUAUAGGAGGAAAACUAAUAGUCGAGAAGGAGGGAUUUCAGUGGAUUCUUUCAAGAAUAAACAUGUCUUACUCAGAUCUUGAA
rnacentral:lncRNA from 1 species